UGAAAGUACUUCCCUUUGGACUCGAAUCUUUAGCUAUUGUAGAAGAGAACGAUUUGGUGGUAAAAGGAAAUGCAUUUUGCACAAUGCUCACUGUAACUCUUAAAUUACGCCAUUUCUGUAAUUCCACAGACUUUCUUCCAUGGAGAAUUAGAGAAAACAUGAGGAAGAUGAAGAUUGGCGAGGAAGGAGUAAGAAUACGAAAUUAGGGUUUAAG